rnacentral:rRNA from 1 species
GAUGAACGCUGGCGGCGUGCCUAAUACAUGCAAGUCGAGCGAACGGACGAGAAGCUUGCUUCUCUGAUGUUAGCGGCGGACGGGUGAGUAACACGUGGAUAACCUACCUAUAAGACUGGGAUAACUUCGGGAAACCGGAGCUAAUACCGGAUAAUAUUUUGAACCGCAUGGUUCAAAAGUGAAAGACGGUCUUGCUGUCACUUAUAGAUGGAUCCGCGCUGCAUUAGCUAGUUGGUAAGGUAACGGCUUACCAAGGCAACGAUGCGUAGCCGACCUGAGAGGGUGAUCGGCCACACUGGAACUGAGACACGGUCCAGACUCCUACGGGAGGCAGCAGUAGGGAAUCUUCCGCAAUGGGCGAAAGCCUGACGGAGCAACGCCGCGUGAGUGAUGAAGGUCUUCGGAUCGUAAAACUCUGUUAUUAGGGAAGAACAUAUGUGUAAGUAACUGUGCACAUCUUGACGGUACCUAAUCAGAAAGCCACGGCUAACUACGU